AUUGAACGCUGGCGGCAGGCCUAACACAUGCAAGUCGAACGGUAACAGGAAACAGCUUGCUGUUUCGCUGACGAGUGGCGGACGGGUGGGUAAUGUCUGGGAAACUGCCUGAUGGAGGGGGAUAACUACUGGAAACGGUAGCUAAUACCGCAUAACGUCGCAAGACCAAAGAGGGGGACCUUCGGGCCUCUUGCCAUCGGAUGUGCCCAGAUGGGAUUAGCUAGUAGGUGGGGUAACGGCUCACCUAGGCGACGAUCCCUAGCUGGUCUGAGAGGAUGACCAGCCACACUGGAACUGAGACACGGUCCAGACUCCUACGGGAGGCAGCAGUGGGGAAUAUUGCACAAUGGGCGCAAGCCUGAUGCAGCCAUGCCGCGUGUAUGAAGAAGGCCUUCGGGUUGUAAAGUACUUUCAGCGGGGAGGAAGGGAGUAAAGUUAAUACCUUUACUCAUUGACGUUACCCGCAGAAGAAGCACCGGCUAACUCCGUG
rnacentral:rRNA from 1 species